rnacentral:rRNA from 2 species
UUGAUCUCAAAUCAGGUAGGACUACCCGCUGAACUUAAGCAUAUCAAUAAGCGGAGGAAAAGAAACUAACAAGGAUUCCCCUAGUAACUGCGAGUGAAGCGGGAAGAGCUCAAAUUUAAAAUCUGGUGUGCCUCUGGUCACCCGAGUUGUAGUCUGGAGAAGCGUUUUCUGUGUUGGGCCGUGUAUAAGUCCCUUGGAACAGGGCGUCAUAGAGGGUGAGAAUCCCGUCUUUGACACGGACUGCCAAUGCUUUGUGAUGCGCUCUCAAAGAGUCGAGUUGUUUGGGAAUGCAGCUCAAAAUGGGUGGUAAAUUCCAUCUAAAGCUAAAUAUAGGCGAGAGAC